rnacentral:rRNA from 1 species
AACAGGAUUAGAUACCCUGGUAGUCCACGCCGUAAACGAUGUCGACUUGGAGGUUGUGCCCUUGAGGCGUGGCUUCCGGAGCUAACGCGUUAAGUCGACCGCCUGGGGAGUACGGCCGCAAGGUUAAAACUCAAAUGAAUUGACGGGGGCCCGCACAAGCGGUGGAGCAUGUGGUUUAAUUCGAUGCAACGCGAAGAACCUUACCUACUCUUGACAUCCAGAGAACUUAGCUGAGAUGCUUUGGUGCCUUCGGGAACUCUGAGACAGGUGCUGCAUGGCUGUCGUCAGCUCGUGUUGUGAAAUGUUGGGUUAAGUCCCGCAACGAGCGCAACCCUUAUCCUUUGUUGCCAGCGGUUAGGCCGGGAACUCAAAGGAGACUGCCAGUGAUAAACUGGAGGAAGGUGGGGAUGACGUCAAGUCAUCAUGGCCCUUACGAGUAGGGCUACACACGUGCUACAAUGGCGCAUACAAAGAGAAGCGACCUCGCGAGAGCAAGCGGACCUCAUAAAGUGCGUCGUAGUCCGGAUUGGAGUCUGCAACUCGACUCCAUGAAGUCGGAAUCGCUAGUAAUCGUGGAUCAGAAUGCCACGGUGAAUACGUUCCCGGGCCUUGUACACACCGCCCGUCACACCAUGGGAGUGGGUUGCAAAAGAAGUAGGUAGCUUAACCUUCGGGAGGGCGCUUACCACUUUGUGAUUCAUGACUGGGGUGAAGUCGUAACAAGGUAACC